rnacentral:tRNA from 2 species
GCCGCGGUGCUGAAACUGGUAGACAGGCUAGGUUGAGGGCCUAGUGUUCGUUUAGAACGUGCGAGUUCGACUCUCGCUCGCGGCACCA